rnacentral:tRNA from 1 species
CGUCCGGAGCGGUCUGGAAACGGAGAUCGGGAACCUUGAACGUUCCCUGCUGGGGCUAAGCGUCCUCGCCGAACGCC